GGGGAUUUAGUUCAGUGGUAGAGCGCUUGCCUAGCAAGCACAAGGCCCUGGGUUCGGUCCCCAGCUCCCCCC
rnacentral:tRNA from 1 species